GGACCGGACAAACGUUAUUCGGAAUCACUGGGCUUAAAGAGUACGUAGGCGGCCAUGCAAGUUGGGUGUGAAAUCCCUCGGCUCAACCGAGGAACUGCGCCCAAAACUGCACGGCUUGAGGAAGGUAGGGGUGAGCGGAACUGAUGGUGGAGCGGUGAAAUGCGUUGAUAUCAUCAGGAACACCGGUGGCGAAGGCGGCUCACUGGGCCUUCUCUGACGCUGAGGUACGAAAGCUAGGGUAGCGAACGGGGAUUAGAUACCCCGGUAGUCCUAGCUGUAAACGAUGAGCACUAGAUCGAGGGGGAAUCCACUUCUUCUUGGUCGUAGCGAAAGUGUUAAGUGCUCCGCCUGGGGAGUAUGGUCGCAAGGCUG
rnacentral:rRNA from 1 species